AAAAAUAAUGUACCAUAAAACAUUAUUCUAUACAUCAUGAAACAUGUUUUAUAUUAUCUUUGUCAUUUUUUCUGUAUAAAAAAGAUUCGAUAAACACGUCGAGUCUAAAAAAAAAGCAACACUUGUAAUAGUGAAAAUCAGAGAAAAACUUUUGUUGGUAUUAAUAAAAGGAGCGUCAAAUAAGGAUAACUAUGAUACGAAGCGUAUUUUGCUUGUUACUUAUCAUUUCUUUUUUUUGUAAUGGUUGCUGAAAGCUCAGAUUUCCCAGUCUUUUCGCCCAAAGUAAUAAACCUUGACUGCGGUGAACAUAAAAAUGGAGAAACAUUUCAAAGAGAGCAUCCCUGCCAGGAAUAUACGUGUACAGAUGGCUUCUUGGGUGU